rnacentral:rRNA from 1 species
GUAUCCUACGGGGGGCAGCAGUGAGGAAUAUUGGUCAAUGGGCGCGAGCCUGAACCAGCCAAGUCGCGUGAGGGAAGACGGUCCUAUGGAUUGUAAACCUCUUUUGUCAGGGAGCAAUUGGGUCCACGCGUGGGCUUAGCGAGAGUACCUGAAGAAAAAGCAUCGGCUAACUCCGUGCCAGCAGCCGCGGUAAUACGUAUGGUGCAAGCGCUAUCCGGAAUGACUGGGUGUAAAGGGAGCGUAGACGGUUGUACAAGUCUGAUGUGAAAGCCCACGGCUCAACUGUGGAAGUGCAUUGGAAACUG